CAUGGAACAACUUGGAGUUAUUUGGACAUCAAUUAUGAACUUUGUCAAAAGAAACCACAUUUGUAGUGGACCUGGGAUUUCUAGAAGUGCCAAUGGAUGAAGAUAAUCAAAGGUUCACCAGCUGACCUCUAUCAAGACACUCAUGUCGACUGGAUUCCCACUAUGAAGAUGAGCAAUGCUGCAGCAGCAUCAGUUUCUUCUUCUACUACUUUGCCCUUUUCCAGAUAUGAAUGGAGACAUCCCUCAAUUAUACGAGAUGGUUGCUAUGCUGUGCUUUGGUCAAUCUGAACGAUUCUGUUGUGCCAUUUGAGUAGAGCAUCUUCACCUUGUCGUCAUGACAAAAGUGCCCCCAUAAACCGUAUGAAUAUAUAAAAUGUCAUUUGGAACGAGUAAAGACUAUUGUUUAUGAUAUUGUAAACAUACUGUACUUGAAAAACAAGCUAUAUUGUUGUAUGGGUGAAAUGAAAAGUAUUUUGUCAUCUCUGCUUUCCCUAGCCCCAUUGAAUAAAACGUAUUUAUUAUA